UACGAAGGGGGCUAGCGUUGCUCGGAAUCACUGGGCGUAAAGCGCACGUAGGCGGAUUGCUAAGUCAGGGGUGAAAUCCUGGAGCUCAACUCCAGAACUGCCUUUGAUACUGGCGACCUUGAGUCCGGGAGAGGUGAGUGGAACUGCGAGUGUAGAGGUGAAAUUCGUAGAUAUUCGCAAGAACACCAGUGGCGAAGGCGGCUCACUGGCCCGGUACUGACGCUGAGGUGCGAAAGCGAUGGGGAGCAAACUAGGG
rnacentral:rRNA from 1 species